rnacentral:rRNA from 1 species
GACGAACGCUGGCGGCGUGCUUAACACAUGCAAGUCGAACGGAAAGGCCUCUGUGGGGGUACUCGAGUGGCGAACGGUGGUGUAACACGUGAGUAUCCUGCCCUUGACGUCGGUAUAACUUUAGGUAACUGGGGCUAAUACCGGAUAGGAAUCCUGUGUGCUGGGUGGGGGUUGGAAAGCCUCGGCGGUUUUGGAUGGACUCGCGGCUUAUCAGCUUGUUGGUGGGGUAGUGGCUUACCAAGGCUUUGACGGGUAGCCGGCCUGAGAGGGCGACCGGCCACAUUGGGACUGAGAUACGCACCAGACUCCCACAGGAGGCAGCAGUGGGGAAUAUUGCACAAUGGGCGGAAGCCUGCAGCAGCAACAACGCGUGCGGGAUGACGGCCUUCGGGUUGUAAACAAAAAACAGCAGGGGCGAAGCUUGUGGUGACGGUACCUGCAGAAGAAGCACCGGCUAACUACGUG